AAGUAGUUCAAGUAGACUUGUUGUUACACAUGGCUAGAUUAAAGUUUUCUGUUUUAAUUUACUCUUUAAGCUUUACAUGGCCUAUGUGUAAAUCCAGGAAAGUAAUUCAUCUUAGAAUUAUUGUGAGAAAUAAAUGAGAUAAUGCUUGCAUGGGCGGGCAGAGGCGGAGAGAACCCUGUCCUGAUCUUCCUAGGUGGGAUAAAUAUCGGGGUGACAGUGGUAGGCCGCGGGGAACCCUCAGUCUGCCCACCCUCCGCCCCCUCGCGGCGAGAUGCCUCGUUCCCCGGGCUUCUCCCGCCCUCCGUCGAUCUCCUCCCUCUGUUGAAAGCUGCCCGGGAAAGUGGUGGCGGGAGCGGGCCCAGGCCCGAAUGUGGCGUGGGCUCAGGUGCCUGGUGUCGGGCGCCGGAGGAGGUUCGCGCUGGGGUUUGGUGAUUCGGAGGCCUGGGGUGCAGACGCGGCGUGGCUGUGAGGCCGGGGCGGGCGUGCGGGUGUGAGGGCCGGACUCACACUGGGCCGCCGCGGGGCUGUUUCCAUCGGUCACUGGAUUUUCUCCUCUUCCGGUUCGGGCCUCAGGGUGGCCGACAUGACGGCCAGGGGUCAGAGCCCCCUCGCGCCGCUGUUGG
rnacentral:lncRNA from 1 species